rnacentral:lncRNA from 1 species
AAAAACAAACAAAAAAGAGGAGGGUGCAAAAUAAGAAAAAAGAAACCCAAAUCAAAAGAAAGAAAAAGAAAGAAAGAAACAAAAGAAAAAAUAGCACCCUCAAAGUCCCAAGUUGACUGAUGCUGAAUGGAUUCAGAGUCACUACGACAAGGUGAAUCCAAUCGAAAAGAAGAGAUCAACUGCCAUGUAGCAUGGUCGGUUACAUCAGCAGAGAGUGAAAAAGCAUUCGACAAGAAGGUCAAGCCUCGUGUGUUCCGAGGGACCUUGUG